AGUGCGGGUCUUUCUGGCCCAACCUGCCGCCCGUGACUAUUGUACCUUGUUGCUUCGGCGGGCCCGCCAGCGUUGCUGGCCGCCGGGGGGCGACUCGCCCCCGGGCCCGUGCCCGCCGGAGACCCCAACAUGAACCCUGUUCUGAAAGCUUGCAGUCUGAGUGUGAUUCUUUGCAAUCAGUUAAAACUUUCAACAAUGGAUCUCUUGGUUCCGGCAUCGAUGAAGAACGCAGCGAAAUGCGAUAACUAAUGUGAAUUGCAGAAUUCAGUGAAUCAUCGAGUCUUUGAACGCACAUUGCGCCCCCUGGUAUUCCGGGGGGCAUGCCUGUCCGAGCGUCAUUGCUGCCCUCAAGCCCGGCUUGUGUGUUGGGCCCUGGUCCCCCGGCUCCCGGGGGACGGGCCCGAAAGGCAGCGGCGGCACCGCGUCCGGUCCUCGAGCGUAUGGGGCUUCGUCUUCGGCUCCGUAGGCCCGGCCGGCGCCCUCCGACGCAUUUAUUUGCAACUUGUUUUUUUCCAGGUUGACCUCGGAUCAGGUAGGGAUACCCGCUGAACUUAAGCAUAUCAAUAAGGCGGAGG
rnacentral:rRNA from 1 species